GAGGGUCUAGCUCAGUGGUAGAGUGCGUGCUUAGCAUGCACGAGGUCCUAGGUUCAAGCCCCAGUACCUCCA
rnacentral:tRNA from 1 species